AAACUUAUCGCAGUUGACUUCGUUAGAGGUUUACCAUUCAAGAUCGUGUGAAUGUAUUGUGUAAGGAUUGUUAUGCUUAAUACGACUUCAGAAGUAUUCAAUAGAAUUUCAGAACUCUUGUUUAGAGGUUCAACAACACAAUUAGAGAUACUUCGUUCAGUAAUAGAUUUUUUAAAGAAAACAACUUCAAACCAUACACCGAUAGAUUGAGCUCGUACUAGCGACCAAAAAUUCGAUUACACACAUCAUGUCUGUUUUCAGUCGAUGGAAAAAAGGCGACCAUAUGAAACUGAAGAACAAAGCUUGCAGAAAUAGCUUACUGUAAACGUGUAUAAUGGUCAACAGAUUCAGACUUUCGAAGCAAAGUAUCUUUACAAUUGAAGAUAAUUACCAAACGGUAAACUACAUUAUUUCCGAUUAACGUUUGUAACAAAACCACUAUGAAGUAACUCAGAUGUCUAUUGAUCUAUGGAAACCACCUGAUAGUUAAAUACUUUCUUCAAAGACAAAUAGUCAUUCAUUUUAUUGAAAUUAGAUCGCCCUAUUUUUCACCGAUGCACAACAACUUUAAUUCAUGUCUGAACGAUUCCGAUUUUCGGUGCGUUCAUUGCGUCUUUUAACCGAGCCACCCUUAUCACGACGUCUGUUCUCCUGAGGAUUAGUGUGUUGGGUCUUCUGCUCAUAUAGCUUUUCAUUUGCCUCAUUCAAUUGUGCAGUUUUCUCGCUAAGAGAAACAGUCAAGCUUUCCAGCUUGUUAAUCUCAACACGUUCAAAAAUGAUGGCACCGUGAACUUGAUCAAGAGCAGCAUGGAUCUCACGUUUAGAUAAUAACCGAGAAACAAUAACAGUAACACGCUGAACAGGAAGAUCAAAUGUCGUAGCCAAAAAUUCAAGAGAAACAGAAUCGUAAAAAGCAGCAUAUGCUAAUAAGUAUGUACGUAGUCCCUCUUCCCGAAUCUUCUCACUAAGCAUUUGCUUAAUUUUGUCAGCAUCAGGCAUUAAGCUCCAAAUCUUAAUAGCAUGAAUAAAUUCUUCACAACGACGCCAUUCACCAUCUGCCAAUGCUUUCGAAGCUUGCAUUAUAUACUCGCGGGUAUUUUCAGGAGGACCAACGAAAAGCUGACGAUCAAUGUAUUCAAGCAUACGACGGAAGGGUCGGCUGAUUACACGCUUUCUAGAAUCUGAAGCAGUAGAGCUAGCAGCUGCCAUUGCGGGAAUCUCCAUCAACAUAGAACAAGUCAAGUAAACACAUUCAAGCAGUUCUAGAUUUAUGUGCAUAUGGAAAGGUAAAACCAACUGCUUAUCCAAACGAUCCUGAUCAGGUGUAAAUUGUCCAAACUUUGGUGCUUGUAUGCCUUGUCCAAGGAGUUCCUUUACACGACCAGUAGUAGAGAUGUCUUGAAGAGCAUACUGUGUUUCUUGAACCAUACCGUUGCGGAAAGCACACAAACCAAUUUGAACCAUAGUGCGAUUGUGUAAAAUUUGAGUAGCAAUGUCGGCAGCAUGCACGCUAUCUUGUAAAUGCGACAUAAGUAACAUAUCACGAGCCUUGUAAAAACGAUUUUGCAAUGCUUCAUGAUAAAUAUGACACAGCAUAGCACGGGUACGAAGUAAACUGACACCAUUAUUAUAAAGAUAGACACAUAGGGAAUGGAUUAAAAUAUCAGGAGUCGUAGUCGUGGCACGAGGAGUAAUUGUAAGAUCAAAAGUAGGAGGGAAAGAACGCCAAGCAACCUCCUCAUUAGCGCGAAUUACUUGUUCAGGCUUGUAAUAGACGCGAUCAAGACGGCGCAUGAUCAAUCGAGCAGUAUUUUCAACCACCCCAAUUCGCUCAAGGUAACCUUGGCUUCUGACAAGAAGGGUAUAAAGUGACGUUUCAUCCUUCAGACGGUCAAUAUAUUCAGGAGUAUGAGGAUCAAUCAUUUGAAGAGAACGAGUAAAUUCAUCAUCCAAUCGUUCUAAGAAAGAGACUACACUACCUUGAACUUGUAUGACUCCAUUAUUAUUUUCCGCCGCAGCUAUCGC